UACGUAGGGGGCGAGCGUUGUCCGGAAUUAUUGGGCGUAAAGGGUUCGUAGGCGGUAAUACAUGUCAGAUGUGAAAUCUUGUGGCUUAACCACAUCAAGCAUCUGAAACUGUAUAACUUGAGUGGAGGAGAGGUAAGUGGAAUUCCUAGUGUAGCGGUGAAAUGCGUAGAUAUUAGGAAGAAUACCAGUAGCGAAGGCGACUUACUGGCCUCUAACUGACGCUGAUGAACGAAAGCGUGGGUAGCAAACAGGAUUAGAUACCCCUGUA
rnacentral:rRNA from 1 species